UGGGGAAUCUUAGACAAUGGGGGAAACCCUGAUCUAGCCAUGCCGCGUGAGCGAUGAAGGCCUUAGGGUUGUAAAGCUCUUUCAGCUGGGAAGAUAAUGACGGUACCAGCAGAAGAAGCCCCGGCUAACUCCGUGCCAGCAGCCGCGGUAAUACGGAGGGGGCUAGCGUUGUUCGGAAUUACUGGGCGUAAAGCGCACGUAGGCGGAUCGGAAAGUUGGGGGUGAAAUCCCGGGGCUCAACCCCGGAACUGCCUUCAAAACUAUCGGUCUGGAGUUCGAGAGAGGUGAGUGGAAUUCCGAGUGUAGAGGUGAAAUUCGUAGAUAUUCGGAGGAACACCAGUGGCGAAGGCGGCUCACUGGCUCGAUACUGACGCUGAGGUGCGAAAGCGUGGGGAGCAAACAGG
rnacentral:rRNA from 1 species